rnacentral:rRNA from 1 species
CAAUACUUAGUGGCAGACGGGUGAGUAACAUGUGGGUAUCUGCCCUUUGGCCUGGAAUAACACGAGGAAACUUGUGCUAAUACCGGAUAAGUCUUUACGGAGAAAGCUUUAUGCACCAUUGGAUGAGCCCGCACUUGAUUAGUUUGUUGGUGGGGUAAUGGCCUACCAAGACUGUGAUCAAUAGCUGAUUUGAGAGGAUGAUCAGCCACAUUGGGACUGAGACACGGCCCAAACUCCUACGGGAGGCAACAGUGGGGAAUCUUGCACAAUGGAGGAAACUCUGAUGCAGCGAUGCCGCGUGAGUGAAGAAGGCCCUUGGGUCGUAAAGCUCUUUCGUCGGGGAAGAAAAUGACUGUACCCGAAUAAGAAGGUCCGGCUAACUUCGUGCCAGCAGCCGCGGUAAUACGAAGGGACCUAGCGUAGUUCGGAAUUACUGGGCUUAAAGAGUUCGUAGGUGGUUGAAAUAGUUGGUGGUGAAAUCCCAGAGCUUAACUCUGGAACUGCCAUCAAAACUUUUCAGCUAGAGUAUGAUAGAGGAAAGUAGAAUUUCUAGUGUAGAGGUGAAAUUCGUAGAUAUUAGAAAGAAUACCGAUUGCGAAGGCAGCUUUCUGGAUCAUUACUGACACUGAGGAACGAAAGCAUGGGUAGCGAAGAGGACUAGAUACCCUCGUAGUCCAUGCCGUAAACGAUGUGUGUUAGACGUUGGAAAUUUAUUUUCAGUGUCGCAGCGAAAGCAAUAAACACACGGCCUGGGGGGUACGACCGCAAGGUUAAAACUCAAAUGGAUUGACGGGGACCCGCACAAGUAGUGG